CAGCCAUUCUAACGGUGGCAUGCUCCCUGCUUUCUUUGAUCAAGUCGAGGUUAGCUUGAAGCCACACCAGAUUAGUGUCUUUAUUGUAUUCCUCGACUUUGAGGGAAGGAAGUCCAAACUUCACAAAAAUGACUUUUUCAAUCCCAAAUGCAAGAUUGAAAGUAGUCUCGUCAGUUGGGAUCCUUUGAGUGGUCUAGCAAGCCCACAAUAUAUGAUGAAGCUCAUCUACCCAA
rnacentral:lncRNA from 1 species